ACGGUUAACAUGCAUGCAUAAGACACAUUUCCUUUUCCUCAAUCUAGUUCAUGUCAUUUCCCAAAUUUCAGCAACACAACAAUUACAAUAAAAAGCCAGCAAACAAGAGAAAUUAAUAUACAACAACAACAACAAUAAAACCAGCAAAAGCAAGAGAAAUUGGGCAUUGAAACAUGGAUGUAAAUAUGAUAAAAAAAACUGGAAAAUACCUCAAUGUAGGUGGUAGUCCCUUAACCAAGAUGUUUGACACAAUUUCCAAGCCUUGAGCGUAUCUUCCUAGCUCCCUUUGGUGAUUGCUUUGUGUGUGGAUGUGUUAGAAGAAAUUGAGAGAACGAGAGGGAGAAAGAGCCGAGACAAAAAAUUGGAGAGCCCUUUUUUUUUGUUUGUCUCUAGCCAAAAAAAAGAAGCCGAGAGC
rnacentral:lncRNA from 1 species